GAUGAAGAACGUAGCGAAAUACGAUAAGUAAUGUGAAUUGCAGAAUUCAGUGAAUCAUCGAAUCUUUGAACGCACAUUGCGCCCGCUGGUAUUCCGGCGGGCAUGCCUGUUCGAGCGUCAUUUCAACCCUCAAGCCCCCGGGUUUGGUGUUGGGGAUCGGCUCUGCCUUCUGGCGGUGCCGCCCCCGAAAUACAUUGGCGGUCUCGCUGCAGCCUCCAUUGCGUAGUAGCUAACACCUCGCAACUGGAACGCGGCGCGGCCAUGCCGUAAAACCCCAACUUCUGAAUGUUGACCUCGGAUCAGGUAGGAAUACCCGCUGAACUUAAGCAUAUCAAUAAGCGGAGGA
rnacentral:misc_RNA from 1 species